rnacentral:rRNA from 2 species
AAAUUGAAGAGUUUGAUCAUGGCUCAGAUUGAACGCUGGCGGCAGGCCUAACACAUGCAAGUCGAACGGUAACAGGAAGCAGCUUGCUGCUUCGCUGACGAGUGGCGGACGGGUGAGUAAUGUCUGGGAAACUGCCUGAUGGAGGGGGAUAACUACUGGAAACGGUGGCUAAUACCGCAUAACGUCGCAAGACCAAAGAGGGGGACCUUCGGGCCUCUUGCCAUCAGAUGUGCCCAGAUGGGAUUAGCUUGUUGGUGAGGUAACGGCUCACCAAGGCGACGAUCCCUAGCUGGUCUGAGAGGAUGA